CUGUCUCUGUCUGUGAGGAAGACUGAGAAGGAUACAGAGGGUACCAGCCCCACCUUCUCUAGCAGUCACUUCUAGGAAUCAAGUUGAGAGAGUCCUAUGCAGUUUCUUGGAUUCAAUCUUGUUGCCUGAAAUAAGCUUUUAAGAUCUCUUCAUUCACAUUUCUCCCUACUGCCUUCAACAUGCUUCACGAGAGAAUUCCUUCCGAUCGCAGCAUUGAAGGAGAUUUUCUCGACCCAGUUGAAUCUCCGGAAGCACUGAUUUUACUGAUUCCUGUGGAUGACUUGGAAGAUGAUAUGGAAGAAAUAAUCGAAAUAUAUGAAGAGGAGGAGGGAGAAGUGGGAGAGGAAGAGCUGGUGGUGGAGGAGAUACUGGUGGAGGAGGAAGAGGUAGAGGAGGAAGAAGUAGAGCUCAUAAUAGGAAAAUACAUUCCUGAGAAUGAGGAGUAGAAAUGAGAAAUAAGAAAAAGAGGAAGCAGAGGAGGAAGAGGAGGGAAAAAGGAUUCAGUGAAAUGUACCUUUAUUUGCCAAGCUCAUGCAAGAAAACAAAAAAAUGUUAACAAAUCUUAAUAAAGUUUGCUUACUGGUUCAUUUACUU
ensembl:lincRNA 1700019B21Rik RIKEN cDNA 1700019B21 gene